rnacentral:rRNA from 2 species
GGGCGUAAGCGCGCGCAGGCGGUUUCUUAAGUCUGAUGUGAAAGCCCACCGCUCUACCGUGGAGGGUCAUUGGAAACUGGGGAACUUGAGUGCACAAGAGAAAAGCGGAAUUCCACGUGUAGCGGUGAAAUGCGUAGAGAUGUGGAGGAACACCCGUGGCGAAGGCGACUCUCUGUUCUGUAUCUGACGCUGAGGCGCGAAAGCGUGGGGAGCGGACAGGAUUAGAUACCCUGGCCGUCCACGCCCCACACGAUGAGUGCUAAGUGUUAGGGGGUGUCCGCCCCUCCCUGCUGCAGCUGACGCAUUAAGCACUCCGCCUGGGGAGGAGGGUCGCCGGGCCGAAACUCAAAAGAAUUGACGGGGGCC